AAAACGUCAUGUUGUGGUCACACCUGUCUUAUUCUUUUGCUAAUUCAAAAAAGACAUUCUCAAAGAUAUCUUUGAUGAUGCUUUCUCCUGACUUCCUGUUGGUCUUCCUGUAAAUGUUGACUCAAGAUAAUGAUGUGUGCUGGUCUCUUUUGGUAAAAUUAAGACGGUUUUCUUUUCUGCAUUUUCUCUUUGCGGUAACUGCUCUGAGUCACAUUUUACUCUCAACAGAGCUCCCCAAAGGCAUCCUUUUCCUCUGGCCCUGGUCUUUGUCAUUGUGUGUUAUUUCACCAGUGUGCAGUCAGUGGAAUUUUGUUUAUAGGGAUAGCUUCAUGAUGUGUUGUCUGCAUUGAAGCAGCUUUUAACACUUCUUUCCUCACACAUUUUCAUGUCCCCAAAAACAACAGUGAAGCAUUCUGUAAUCAAAGAGUAAUUAGCAGGGUUAGCUGACAGCACAGUCAGUUCAUUUAUAGCAAAGGCAAGAUAUUAAAUUAGCAGCUAGUAAAUUCAAAAAUUACAAAACCUCAUGUCUUUAUUAGCAGUUACAUUUUACAGCUACAGGUUAUGUGAGCACAGUGGCUUAAUGAGCAUAUUUUGUAUGAAAAAAUGUAAUUUUAUUUAAUAAUACAUUCUUAAUCCUCACAGCCAAUGUACACAAAAUACUAUUGUCUCAGUAUUUUUUAUGUCAUGGGAUCAGAUUAAAACCUGUAACACUUCUUUGGCACAAUAACAAAAGAUUAGGGCAUUGCUGUCUAACAUCACAAGGCUAUUCGCUUAAGAAAAAUCCUCUCAAACACCCAGUGGUUCCGUGAUGGGCACUGUUAGCUUAAGACACAUUCCUCUGGGAUUUUAUUUUAGGGUGCUGUUCGGUCCUUGUAAAGCUAAAGCAAGAAAUGUAUUUCCAUAUUUGGUAUAAAUUUAAGCUUUUUUUUCAUGGACUAGCRUUGAAGGUUUAAUCAUGGGUUGGUGGGUCUGGUUUGGGAACUCUGAAGAAUUACUUUUUUCAUAGGAUGUGACAUUGUUGGCUCCUUUAAACUAUGACCUUUAGUGGGUACUGCAGUGAUGUAUGUUGGGGGUGAACAUUUGGUUUUUGUAAGCCAUGGUUCUUGUUUGACAAAAGGYUGCUAUGUAAUUGGGUUGGAAUGUAAAAGGCACUGUAAAGUUGGAGAGUGAAGACAAGCARACAAGCCACCUUGGAGUCCCAAGUCAAAUGUAAUAGAGUGAACAGUAUUUCAUUUAAACCUGGUCACGUUUAGGGACAAAAACUGUUCCACUCUUUCUUUAAUGAGGGGCACAGUAUGCACCGGGCCAUCUUUUAGCUGAGAGUGGCAAACUGUGCCCUGGAAGACCAUCAAAAAUCUGGUGGCUUAAGCCAGGAAUGGCUGCCAGGUGUUGUCCWUUGUCGUACUGUAUAUCUUGAAUACAGGCCAGGUUCCAUCUGUGCUCAAUCCUAUAAACUCAGUAGCAGGAACUAAAUACAUAAAGAUGGAAAAAAAUGGAUUAGAUAUUAUCCAUUUAAAAUUGUUUUCCAUGCAUUUGUGUAGGAGCAACUGCUAUGUCCUCCUUCCAAAGAAAGAUAUUUCAUGAUGCAGUUGUGUUAUGGGCCAAUAAAAAAAACAUUCUAACAGAAUAAACAAUUUUCCAAUUUUAAAAAUGGACAAAAAUGUACUUGGUCUCAGUAAUGUGUUUAUUUGUUGAAAUGCAUUUAGAACAAAUUUGUCAAGUUGGCUUGCAUGAUUCACUAAGUUUAAUUGGUACAAUGUUUUUGUCAAAAUAAAUUGGCUGUUAUCUGCUUAUAGUUUCAGUUCUAGAAGACAGAAAUCAGUAACAGCUUGGUAGAACUGAAAUUUAAUAAAGCAAAAAUAAAUGUUUUAAAGCUUCAAGGAAGUACAGAUAAGUUGACCAGAAUGCUAAAGGUUUGUUUUUUUUUAAUAAGUGUACCUUCCACAGAAGACAUACUGACUGCACAAAUCGUUUCCUACAGCAGCAUUCCAAAAAGGUGACCGUAAUGUGUUUUCCUUUCAGACUAUUAGAGACACUUUGUUUUGUUGGCUUCUUGACCCAAACAGUGAGAAUUCCAGGGGCCACAUAUUGCAGCUGUGUUCCUGUGUGGGCAGUAGUCUGGUGUACAUGGGCUUUAAAGCUGCUGUAUGUAGUUUCUUGAAAACCCAAAAACAGAAAAAUUUUGAACAGAUACAACCUUGUAGUCCCUCCCCCCUGCUCUCAGCUCCCCUUCCUAAGCUCCUCCCCCACAACAGGGCCCAGAGUCGGGAGCGCGCACGCUUGUUAACAGGAGGUGAGCCACACCGUAGCUCACAGAGCUAAUCUGCCGUCACAGCUAGUUUUUGACAAUCAUCUACCAGCUGAUGGAGAGAAGCUGUGGUGGAGCAUAACGCAGGUCACUGGGAGACACAGCAGCGUGGGUUCAGCUCCUGAGAACCUCAGCAGGACAUCUGCAUCUCAACCCUACCUUCCACUCAUCAAACCAUAUAUUAUUCUGCUGGCAGGAGUCUUGUUUCUGGCCAGGAGGAUCUGUAGCUGAGCUUACAGAUGAUDCUGAAGACAACAGGCAGUUUGUGGCUUGCACUUCUGGUCAGAACAGGCUGCUGAGUGUGGACUUCAAGGACUGUUUUAAACAUCUUCAUGGACACUACAGUGGAUUUAUUCCCUUGAGGCUAUACAUUUUUAAUACUGUCUUGCCAURUAUAAAACAUUUUCCUAUUUAAAUUAAUAUUUCUAUUAUAAUUUUGGUAAAUAUUCUUCAAUAAAGUGUUAAAUGGU